rnacentral:rRNA from 1 species
CCCAGGGAGGCAGCAGUGGGGAAUCUUGCGCAAUGGGCGAAAGCCUGACGCAGCAACGCCGCGUGCGGGAAGAAGGCUUUCGGGCUGUAAACCGCUUUCAGCAGGAACGAAAAUGACGGUACCUGCAGAAGAAGGAGCGGCCAACUAUGUGCCAGCAGCCGCGGUGAUACAUAGGCUUCAAGCGUUGUCCGGAUUUAUUGGGCGUAAAGAGUUCGUAGGCGGUCGAGUAAGUCGGGUGUGAAAAUUCUGGGCUCAACCCAGAGACGCCACCCGAUACUGCUUAACUUGAGUUCGAUAGGGGAGUGGGGAAUUCCUAGUGUAACGGUGAAAUGCGCAGAUAUUAGGAGGAACACCGGUGGCGAAGGCGCCACUCUGGAUCGAUACUGACGCUGAGGAACGAAAGCAUGGGUAGCAAACAGGAUUAGAUACCCUGGUAGUCCAUGCCGUAAACGGUGGGCACUAGGGUGUGGGUAGUUACUAUUAACGUAACGUUACCGUCGCCGUCACUAACGACAUUAAGUACGCCCGCCCGUCGGGUAGGUACGGUCGCGAACGAACGUAAACGUUAAACGGUAAGUUAGACGGCGUGAGACGNGCCGACGGACGACGACGAGGGAGUAGG